AGCGUACACGGUGGAUGCCCUGGCAGUCAGAGGCGAUGAAGGACGUGCUAAUCUGCGAAAAGCGUCGGUAAGGUGAUAUGAACCGUUAUAGCCGGCGAUGUCCGAAUGGGGAAACCCAGUGCAAUUCGUUGCACUAUCGUUAACUGAAUACAUAGGUUAACGAGGCGAACCGGGGGAACUGAAACAUCUAAGUACCCCGAGGAAAAGAAAUCAACCGAGAUUCCCCCAGUAGCGGCGAGCGAACGGGGAGCAGCCCAGAGUCUGAAUCAGCUUGUGUGUUAGUGGAACGGUCUGGAAAGUCCGACGGUACAGGGUGAUAGUCCCGUACACCAAAAUGCACAGGCUGUGAACUCGAAGAGUAGGGCGGGACACGUGGUAUCCUGUCUGAAUAUGGGGGGACCAUCCUCCAAGGCUAAAUACUCCUGACUGACCGAUAGUGAACCAGUACCGUGAGGGAAAGGCGAAAAGAACCCCGGCGAGGGGAGUGAAAAAGAACCUGAAACCGUGUACGUACAAGCAGUGGGAGCACCUUCGGGUGUGACUGCGUACCUUUUGUAUAAUGGGUCAGCGACUUAUAUUCUGUAGCAAGGUUAACCGUAUAGGGGAGCCGCAGGGAAACCGAGUCUUAACUGGGCGUUAAGUUGCAGGGUAUAGACCCGAAACCCGGUGAUCUAGCCAUGGGCAGGUUGAAGGUUGGGUAACACUAACUGGAGGACCGAACCGACUAAUGUUGAAAAAUUAGCGGAUGACUUGUGGCUGGGGGUGAAAGGCCAAUCAAACCGGGAGAUAGCUGGUUCUCCCCGAAAGCUAUUUAGGUAGCGCCUCGUGAACUCAUCUUCGGGGGUAGAGCACUGUUUCGGCUAGGGGGUCAUCCCGACUUACCAACCCGAUGCAAACUACGAAUACCGAAGAAUGUUAUCACGGGAGACACACGGCGGGUGCUAACGUCCGUCGUGAAGAGGGAAACAACCCAGACCGCCAGCUAAGGUCCCAAAGUCAUGGUUAAGUGGGAAACGAUGUGGGAAGGCACAGACAGCCAGGAUGUUGGCUUAGAAGCAGCCAUCAUUUAAAGAAAGCGUAAUAGCUCACUGGUCGAGUCGGCCUGCGCGGAAGAUGUAACGGGGCUAAACCAUGCACCGAAGCUGCGGCAGCGACACUAUGUGUUGUUGGGUAGGGGAGCGUUCUGUAAGCCUGCGAAGGUGACCUGUGAGGGUUGCUGGAGGUAUCAGAAGUGCGAAUGCUGACAUAAGUAACGAUAAAGCGGGUGAAAAGCCCGCUCGCCGGAAGACCAAGGGUUCCUGUCCAACGUUAAUCGGGGCAGGGUGAGUCGACCCCUAAGGCGAGGCCGAAAGGCGUAGUCGAUGGGAAACAGGUUAAUAUUCCUGUACUUGGUGUUACUGCGAAGGGGGGACGGAGAAGGCUAUGUUAGCCGGGCGACGGUUGUCCCGGUUUAAGCAUGUAGGCUGGUUAUCCAGGCAAAUCCGGAUAAUCAAGGCUGAGGUGUGAUGACGAGGCACUACGGUGCUGAAGUAACAAAUGCCCUGCUUCCAGGAAAAGCCUCUAAGCAUCAGGUAACAUCAAAUCGUACCCCAAACCGACACAGGUGGUCAGGUAGAGAAUACCAAGGCGCUUGAGAGAACUCGGGUGAAGGAACUAGGCAAAAUGGUGCCGUAACUUCGGGAGAAGGCACGCUGGUGUGUAGGUGAAGUCCCUGCGGAUGGAGCUGAGACCAGUCGAAGAUACCAGCUGGCUGCAACUGUUUAUUAAAAACACAGCACUGUGCAAACACGAAAGUGGACGUAUACGGUGUGACGCCUGCCCGGUGCCGGAAGGUUAAUUGAUGGGGUUAUCCGUAAGGAGAAGCUCUUGAUCGAAGCCCCGGUAAACGGCGGCCGUAACUAUAACGGUCCUAAGGUAGCGAAAUUCCUUGUCGGGUAAGUUCCGACCUGCACGAAUGGCGUAAUGAUGGCCAGGCUGUCUCCACCCGAGACUCAGUGAAAUUGAACUCGCUGUGAAGAUGCAGUGUACCCGCGGCAAGACGGAAAGACCCCGUGAACCUUUACUAUAGCUUGACACUGAACAUUGAGCCUUGAUGUGUAGGAUAGGUGGGAGGCUUUGAAGCGUGGACGCCAGUCUGCGUGGAGCCAACCUUGAAAUACCACCCUUUAAUGUUUGAUGUUCUAACGUUGGCCCCUUACCGGGGUUGCGGACAGUGUCUGGUGGGUAGUUUGACUGGGGCGGUCUCCUCCCAAAGCGUAACGGAGGAGCACGAAGGUUAGCUAAUCCUGGUCGGACAUCAGGAGGUUAGUGCAAUGGCAUAAGCUAGCUUGACUGCGAGCGUGACGGCGCGAGCAGGUGCGAAAGCAGGUCAUAGUGAUCCGGUGGUUCUGAAUGGAAGGGCCAUCGCUCAACGGAUAAAAGGUACUCCGGGGAUAACAGGCUGAUACCGCCCAAGAGUUCAUAUCGACGGCGGUGUUUGGCACCUCGAUGUCGGCUCAUCACAUCCUGGGGCUGAAGUAGGUCCCAAGGGUAUGGCUGUUCGCCAUUUAAAGUGGUACGCGAGCUGGGUUUAGAACGUCGUGAGACAGUUCGGUCCCUAUCUGCCGUGGGCGCUGGAGAAUUGAGGGGGGCUGCUCCUAGUACGAGAGGACCGGAGUGGACGCAUCACUGGUGUUCGGGUUGUCAUGCCAAUGGCACUGCCCGGUAGCUAAAUGCGGAAGAGAUAAGUGCUGAAAGCAUCUAAGCACGAAACUUGCCCCGAGAUGAGUUCU
rnacentral:rRNA from 1 species